rnacentral:rRNA from 1 species
GGCUACGACCCAUUCACGUUGAAAACACCGGUUCUCUGCGAUCACCGAAGUUAAGCAACGUCGAGCCCGUUAGUACUUGAUGGGUGACGCGCCGGAAUACGGGUGUGUAACAA